rnacentral:lncRNA from 1 species
GCUUGGAACUCUUCUAGCAGAUUACUCAAUUAUUCUGGGUAUAAAUAUACCCUGACAUGUUCUUGCUAUCGUCGUGAUCUGAUUAAAAAUUAGAGUCUAUAAAUUUCACAAGUUUUAAAUCAGAUUCUUCAUAGAUAAACCAUUAAUCCUUAGUAUUUUUCUAAUACUUAAGGAUGGUCUUUACGACCUUUCAGUGGUUCUUAUCU